rnacentral:lncRNA from 1 species
GUUGGCCAGGAUGGUCUCAAUCUCUUGACGUCGUGACCCACCUGCCUUAUCCUCCAAAAGUGCUGAGAUUAUAGGCAUGAGCCACAAGCCCAGCCGACAUUAUUUUUUAUAUCGUAAUUGCUCUCCAGAGCUUUAUACAAGGUGUGCAUAAUUACCCACUAUGUAUACUUCUCCUGUUAUAAUUUUUAUGGCCAACGUGAUCAACAUGUGCAAAUUGCAUGUAUCAGUCUGAUUCCUUAACUGUGAUAAUUGGAUUCUCCAUGCAAUUAAUUACAGGUAGCAAUGACGUUUUGAGCACCUUAUACGGGUGCUGGACAGUUUUGUUUUGUUUUAGUUUUGUUUUCUAAAUAUGAAAUAGCAUUAAGAAAGUCUAAGUUCUUGGAGCCACACCAGAUUAUAGGGGUGCCUUUCAACAGUAAAUAGCAAUUUUCAUUGUCACACCAACCACCUCAGGACAAGGAAAUCCCCAGAGGAGAUUCAAUGUUUUUAACUUUAUAAGCCAAGAAAUUAAACAUCUCUUUAUUACUAAGUGAUGUUCAUUGGUGUUGGAUUAGAAUGUGAUACAGUUUGAGUGGUGUAUACACUCUGGGGUAUCAUGAACAGUGACUGCCCAACUGCAAAAAAAAAAAAAAAAAAGGAAAAAGAAAAAAAAAGGAGUUUAAUCCAUUCUACAUGAUCAGGUAAUCAGGAAUCAGACUCUGCAUGCUUAAAGCCAAAAUAUGCCUUCCAAAUAUGUGCAUGUGUGUGUGUGUGUUUGUGGGUGAGUGAGUGUGUGAGCCACUUCUGAGCAAAGUGGCGGACUGGAUGGUUGAUCUACUUAUCCACUUAUGGCCACAUUAAUUAUACUUCAACCCCUUGUUUUGUUCAUGUGUGCCAGGAAAUGCAAUGAGUCAAUAUACUUACUGAGAUUGCAGAAGAGACUGAACACUGCGCUAGGCUCUGAAGAGAAAGAUGAAAAAGAAGAAAGUGCUCCUGAGUAUAUGACUACUUGUACUUGCUAGCACUGAGGCAAGUACAAACUCUAGGCAUCAGGCUUUUGGUCUCACUCUUAGCGAAUUUGAACACUGGCUUUUUUGUUGGGCUUCCAUUCUUCUCUCAGCGCAAGAAUACCAACGUUUAUGACCCAGGAAGCACCAACUUAUACUUCACAGAGCUAAGAAACAGCAUUUCGCCAUGUCACGCAGGCUGGUCUUCAACUCCUGGACUCAAGCUAUCCACGGGCCUCGGCCUCCCAAAGUGCUAGGAUUACAGGCAUGAGCCACUAUGUCCGGCUUGGAGUUUUUAGUCUCAUCAAACCAACUCACCCAAAUGUCCCUUGGUGACAAAAAGUUUUCUGAAAGAUUAAGUAAUCUUUGUUUCCCAAGCCUGACAAAAUAAAAAGUUUUCUGUCUCUCUCUUUCUCUUUUGCACUGUUUCUCUUUAAGUCUUGUUAGAAUACAGAACUGUAGACAUUUAGACAGAGCCAGGGUCAUUGUCUUGACUGGCCCACUGACCAGAUUAGUAAUUCUUAAACUAGGGUCCCUAGACCAGCACCACAGGCAUCUGUGGGCUUGUUAGAAAUGCACAUCCUUGGACCACUGAAUCAGAUAUUUUGAGAGUGGGCUCAAUAAUCUCUGUUUUGAGAAGACCCCCAAGUAAACCUGAUGCACAGUAAUUGUUGAGAAACACUGAAUAAAUUGUAUACCAUUAGCCUGUUUUUAAAAAUCAUCUGAGCCAUUCCUUUAUUAUAUGAGAUGACCAUUAAAAUCUCACUCAGUUUUAUCAUAUAAUGAAACAUUUGGUGAUAGCAUAAAACUCUAUUUUGAUGGCUCAGUUUUUAUGAUUUCCUUUGAUAUAAUUGUUUCCUUAAGAAGGUGCCAGUUUUGAAAAGGAAACUGUUUUGUUCCCUUUUGUACAGCACAAGCUAAGGAUCUAUGAUGGAAUGAUAAUUAAUCUGUAAACUAUAAUUAUGUUGUCGAUUCUGGCUGUAUAUGGGGCAUACCUGAUUCAUCUGCUACUUGAUGUCCUGCAUGACCAUCACCAGACACCAAGCAGCAGAACAAGACCAUGGACCACAGAGUCCUGGAAAUGUCUACCUCCUGAGCUGAGCCACCACCAGGAAUGGUGUCAGUAAAUGCAUGAGCACCAGAGUAUUUUGAAUGAAAGGAAAAAAGUGCAAUUCAGGAUAUGACUCCCUACCCCAGCCUACUAGCAGAUCCCAAAUGUUGUCAUAAUCCAGUAAAAUAUAACACUACCAAGUUGUGAGGCACUGAGAAACCAUUGCAGGUGAUAGCCAACUGUGUGUUCCCAACUCUGAGCAGUUCUGCCUGUCAGAAUCUUCCCAUCUCAGUCCCCACCCACCUCUUCAGCCUCAUGUUUCCUCAAGCCUUUCUUCAGAUUGACCACACUUCACUUCUGUGUCUACGAGGAUUUGCCUUGUCACUAAAAUUGUUAUGUUACAAUAGGGCCCCAUAUCCAUUAGGUAAUUGGCUUUGUCAUCACCUUCACUUCUAGUUACUUUCUUGGAAUGUUAAAUGAAACAUUCUUGCCUUAAUAGUAACAUCAGUUCCUACAUAUCUUCCUUGUGUGUGUUUGGUUGGCUGAUUGUCACUUUCUACUCUGAAUGUUGAAUCAGACUGCCACUUUCUACUCUGAAUGUUGAAUCACCUUCUUGCUCUGCCCUCUACUUGCAUUUUCUUGUCUACUUACCUGUCCACUUAUCUUUUGAUCUUUUUGCCUCCCCUUCUUUGGGCAUCCCUGUCCUUCAGCUUGCCUGGAUAUGACUUCUAGCCUUGUGUGAUCUUGGAUAUGUGUGCGUAGCCCAAAGUUAUACCAUUCAACAGACUCCAAUGUCAUUAAAGGGAUCUUGUUCCACCAUGUAUUUUUCUGCCUUUUCCCCUAAAUUACCAAAAUUUUUGGCCUGUUAACAUUUCUGUCUCUGUAUACAGAUCAUAGUCCUUUAAUGUACUUUACUACAUGCAGAAAUUCUAUUGAUUUGGAUUCAAGUCUUUCAUAUUUGGCAUUGCUUUGCAAUUCACUUGCUCUUUUAUAGACCCAUUUUGACAGUUCUCAAGAAGGCUGGUGAAACAAGCCUGGCUGUGAUUUGGGCUGCAAUUCUUUCUUUCUCUCCGUGAGAAAUCUUUGUAGCACUGUAGUCAAAGCUGCAUACAGAAUUGUCUGACCAGCUGCUGUCCAUGGAUAGAGCCAAGGCACCAGGCUGACCUCAUACCUAAGAAGCAGUUAUUCAGAAGUUGUACAUGAUUAUCAAAGAUGGAAUUUAUCUCUACCUAGGGCUAAAAGUUUAGGCAGUUCUGUACUGAUUACUUUUUUCAGUCACAUCAAACUCAUCCUCAUACAGAAUAAAAUAAAAUAAGUUUUUCGUGUGCCUGUCUUGCUUUGGGAAAUGAAGAAAUGAGAGUAAGUAUCAUCUUGUUUAUGAAGAGCAAAUACUAUGAUUAAAAAUCAAGAUUAAAAACCUCACACUGUUCAGGACAACUGGAUCACAAGAAUAUUUUGGUUUCAAGUAUCACUGAAUUUUAUUAAUCUCUCUAAGAAAACUUUAUACAAAUAAUAAUUAAGCCUUGGAUUUGCUGAAUGGAUGUUGGAAAAUAGUAAGGUAAAGAGAGGCCAGCAAUCUCUUUUGAACUACUAGCCUUCUGGACCAGUGUGACUCUGCCUUUGAUGAGGAGUACAGGAGGAGGAGAAAGACUUUUAAGAAGAUUGAGCACUUGUCAUAAAACAAGACUGCUAGGGACAUACAUAGCAUGGUUGAAAAAAUGACUUUUGGAGUCUCACUAUGGUCUGUACUAGCGCUAACAACAAAUGAAAAUACAAUGUGGGCCAAUUUGUAAUGUUUAAUGUUCUAAUAGCCACAUUAAUAUAUGUGAAUAAUCUGAUAAAAUUAAUUUCAACAAUAUAUUUUAUUUACCCAAAUAUGGAUGAAAUUAUUAUCCAACAUAUAAUCAAUGUAAAAUGUUUUUAAUGAAAUACUUUCAUUUAAAAAAAUUUGAACUAAGUUUUUGAAAUCCAGUAUGCAUUUUAAACUUGCAGCACAUCUCAGUUCAGACUAACUAUAACUCAAGUACUCAAUAGCACCUGUAGCCAGGGGCUCCCCUAUUGAACAGUGUAAUUUUGGUCCCAUAGCAUCCUCCAUUGACCAAGCAAUGAAGAAAAAAGUCCAACUAUGGUCCAGGAAAAAUAUCCAGUGCUGGCUGUGUCUAUAUUCUAAUAGUGAAUGCAUAGGUCAUCAUACAUAGUACAUGAUAAGCACUAGGAAUUGGGAAGACAAUAGUUAACGUCAUAUCUCUAUUUUGCAAUAGAACUCUAUAAACAGACAUCUUGAUGUUACAAAUUUUCUAUGUGGUUGAUGAUGUAGUUAAGUUAGGAAAAGUAGAGCCAAGCCGUGCCUCCAGAGAUAAGUCUUUUAGUUAACUUGAUCCUCUGGAAAAACAUUCUCUAUGAUGAAAGCUCAAAUGGUUCUUGCCCAUGUCUAAUACAUUGUGAGGUUUGGCUCUAUGUCCCCACCCAAUCUCAUGUUGAAUUGUAAUCCCCAUGUAUUGGAGGAAGGGCCUGGUGGGAGGUGAUUGGAUCAUGGGAGCGGAUUUCCCCCUUGCUGUUCUUGUGAUGGUCAGUGAGUUCUCAUGAGAUCUGAUGGUUUAAAAAUGUGUAGCACUUCCCUGUUUGCUCCCUCACUCUCCUGCAACCAUGUGAAGAAUGUGCCUUGCUUUCCCUUUGCCUUCUGCCAUGAUUGUAAGUUUCCUCAGGCUUCCCAGCCAUGCUUCCUGUUAAGCCUAUGGAACUGUGACUCAAUUAAACCUCUUUUC